rnacentral:lncRNA from 1 species
AGACGUCAGACGCGACGGGGGAGUAGCGGCGUAAACGACAGGAAAGACACGUCACACGCGUACAACUUAGCCGUGAGAAUUCAAUAGCGGAGAGGUGGGGGGGGGGGGGUGAAGGAGACAAAGGCUUCGCGUAACGUCAGUGUAGGCCAAAUGAAAAAGGAAAAGCUUUUCACGUAUAUUGGUGCUUUGGAACUUGAAAACAUGUGGCACAACUCCCUCUCACUCCGGAGAAACAAACUUU